GUUCGUCACUUCCGGCAGGCGCGAGGCGGAAGCGAAGAGCAGCUGCGGCAGGGGUUAGGGAGACCGCAGGUCAGAGUGGCCCCGGGGCAGAGGGGCCGGGGUCUGAGGUGCUUUCGCGGGGACGCGAGGUACCCGGGGGUGGCAGAGGCUUCCGAGGAAAGACUGCGCGCGACGGCGAGCCCCCGCCUCCUGCCCCGAGGCCGGCAUCCCUGGCGGGUCCCGAGGGGCCUGGUGCUAGGCUGGGCUGGGCCGGCCGGGGGCUGCUCGCGGGCCGCUUGCAGUUACCUCUUGGUCCUUCUGGACUGCCAGGAGGAAAUGGUUCUGGGGACGGUGCCUCCACCUUCCAGCACCGUCAGUUACAGUGUUACCAUAGUCGCCGUUAAGGCGGGAAACGAUGAACUCGGGCUCCUGGACCCCAAGCCACCCCGAGGAAUCGUCUGAGCAACCCGGGAUGAGGAAGAUAUCACUUCACGCUCCUUGAGGUGGCCCCAGGCAAAAGUACGGAUAAGAGAUAACACCGAAGUGAGAGUGUGGGGAAACUGGAAGCCUAGUAUGCCACGGAUGGGAAUGGAAAAUGGUGGAGCUGUCUUUGAA
ensembl:lncRNA